AAGUCGUAACAAGGUCUCCGUUGGUGAACCUGCGGAGGGAUCAUUUCCAUAAAACAACGAACACGAGCGCAAGCGAGUGUUUGUUAAACAAAGUUGGUUGUGUUCUACCUAAAAAAAAGGGAAGGGUAUUUGUGUGUGGAUUUGUUCACCCUUAACAAGUGGACAAAUCUUUCCCAUCUAUUCUUUGCUUUUUUUUAUAAACAUGUAAUCAAAGCAUUCUUAACUUGAUGGCAUCUUUUUUUAUUAAAAAAAUAGACAACUAUCAACGGCGGAUCUCUUGGUUCGU
rnacentral:misc_RNA from 1 species